rnacentral:rRNA from 1 species
ACUCCUGCGGGAGGCAGCAGUGGGGAAUAUUGGACAAUGGGCGCAAGCCUGAUCCAGCCAUGCCGCGUGAGUGAUGAAGGCCCUAGGGUUGUAAAGCUCUUUCACCGGUGAAGAUAAUGACGGUAACCGGAGAAGAAGCCCCGGCUAACUUCGUGCCAGCAGCCGCGGUAAUACGAAGGGGGCUAGCGUUGUUCGGAUUUACUGGGCGUAAAGCGCACGUAGGCGGACUAUUAAGUCAGGGGUGAAAUCCCGGGGCUCAACCCCGGAACUGCCUUUGAUACUGGUAGUCUUGAGUUCGAGAGAGGUGAGUGGAAUUCCGAGUGUAGAGGUGAAAUUCGUAGAUAUUCGGAGGAACACCAGUGGCGAAGGCGGCUCACUGGCUCGAUACUGACGCUGAGGUGCGAAAGCGUGGGGAGCAAACAGGAUUAGAUACCCCAGUAGUCCCAUGA